AAAUGAAUUGACGGGGGCCCGCACAAGCAGCGGAGCAUGUGGUUUAAUUCGACGCAACGCGAAGAACCUUACCAGGUCUUGACAUCCAAUUAAACUUGUAGAGAUACAAGGUGAGCUUGCUCAAAUUGAGACAGGUGGUGCAUGGUUGUCGUCAGCUCGUGUCGUGAGAUGUUGGGUUAAGUCCCGCAACGAGCGCAACCCUUGUUUUCAGUUACUAACGCGUAAAGGCGAGGACUCUGAAGAGACUGCCGGGGACAACUCGGAGGAAGGUGGGGACGACGUCAAAUCAUCAUGCCCCUUAUGACCUGGGCUACACACGUGCUACAAUGGCUACUACAAAGAGAAGCGAAUCUGCAAGGAGGAGCGGAUCUCAUAAAAGUAGUCCCAGUUCGGAUUGUGGGCUGCAACCCGCCCACAUGAAGUCGGAGUUGCUAGUAAUCGCGGAUCAGCAUGCCGCGGUGAAUACGUUCCCGGGCCUUGUACACACCGCCCGU
rnacentral:rRNA from 1 species